AGCAACUGACAGGGGAGGGGGACAUGUCGGGUGCCGGGUGCGUUCAGCGGUGCAGACAGUUAAAAAUGACAGGGGGGGCACGUGCCUUGGUGCCCCCCCCCCCCCUAAAUCCGCCACUGGUAACACUCAGCUGAGUAACACUUUAUUAUAGCAUGGCAACAAAGAUUCCUCCAAACCGCGUUACAUAAUAUUAUCCAGUCUAUUUAAUGAUUCCUCCAAACCGCGUUACAUAAUAUUAUCCAGUCUAUUUAAUGAUUUCGAUGAUCCCAUGGAUUCCAGGCAAUUAAUAGGGGAGCUGCAGUCCUUAAUACCUCAGGACAUUUUGUGGAAUUUUACUCACUGGAUAAUAACUGACUACUGGCGAGACCCCUACCCUGCAGGCACAUAGCAGGUUGCCUAUGGGAACUCUAGUGCACUGUUUUUUUA